GCGCCCGUAGCUCAGUUGGAUAGAGUACCUGGCUACGAACCAGGAGGUCGGGAGUUCGAAUCUCUCCGGGCGCGCCA
rnacentral:tRNA from 1 species